AUGAAAACCUUAUGCUUGAACUGCCGCAUGUGUGGGCAGCCCGAGGUAAUUCAGGAGCUCCGCCUUCUAGUGGAGCAGCAUAACCCAGAUUUUGUCUUCCUCUCGGAGACAAAGAUGUCUAAAGAAAGAGCAAAGAAUCUGAGAUUUAAAUUGGAGUUUCAUGAUGCGAUAGCUGUAAGUAGUGAAGGGCUAAGUGGAGGACUAGUUCUCAUGUGGAAAAAGGGUAUUAUCGUGAGGGAACAAACUAAAAAAUAA
rnacentral:rRNA from 1 species